GACCCGUGCUGCUACCGUGUCGAGUCGUGUCAAGCUACAUGUGCGGUGGAAAAGCGGCAUUAGAUGUCCUUUGCCCUACGUACUCAAACUAAGUAAGUACUGAUAGUAUGGAUAUUGGAAGACGGCACUGGACUUGCUCAACGUCUGAUCAGUGCAAACUCUCCUCGGCUCAGCUACCUACAAACCUCGGACAAGUCAGCGCAUCAAGUGCUUCUCAAGGGAUGUUGCCUGUCAGACAGACCACCUGGAAACAUACCGUACUCACACAGCUAUCCAUAAAGACUUUGCGGCCCCAUUUUACAAGUGAAGAAGACUGCGAUGCCUUUGUAGACCGCAGCACGCAGCGCGGCGCCACCUCUGAGA